AUGCGCGGCUCGGCGCGCUGAGGAGAGCGGCGGGGCCGUGAGGGGCGGCCGGCGCGGUGAGGACAUGCAUCAAUUUGAGGAAGAACUGACAUGCUCCAUCUGCUAUAGCCUGUUUGAAGACCCUCGUGUCCUCCCUUGUUCCCAUACCUUUUGCAGGAGCUGUCUGGAAGGUGUUAUUCAGCUGUCCAGCAACUUUUCCAUUUGGAGACCCUUGAGAGUUCCUCUGAAGUGCCCGAACUGCAGGAGCAUUGUUGAGAUUCCUGCCUCUGGCACUGAGUCGCUGCCCAUCAACUUUGCACUGAAGGCCAUCAUUGAGAAGUACCGUCAAGAGGAUCACUCUGAUGUGGCGACCUGCAGUGAGCACUACAGGCAGCCCCUGAACGUUUACUGCCUUCUGGAUAAGAAGUUAGUGUGUGGCCAUUGCCUUACAAUAGGAAAACACAACGGUCAUCCCAUAGAUGACCUUCACAGUGCCUACCUAAAAGAGAAAGAGUCUUCUGGGAAAAUUCUUGAGCAGUUAACUGACAAACACUGGUCUGAUGUAUGCUUGCUUAUUGAAAAGCUAAAAGAACAGAAGGCUCAGUGCGAAAGCAUUGUUCAAGAUGAUAAAAAAGUAGUUGUACAGUACUUUAAGAAACUUAGUGAGACACUGGAACAUAAAAAACAAGUUCUGCUGGCUGCACUGGAUGAAAUCAACAGACAAAUUUUGGAAGAAUAUGAACCUCAUAUUGAGAAGUUGAAAAAAAUAAGGGAAGAACAGCUUGAAUUAAUGUCACUGAACACUUCUAUUCAGAAAGAAGAGUCUCCACUUGUUUUUCUUGAGAAGGUGGACAAUGUGCAUCAACGUAUAAAAGCUCUGAAGGAGAAGGAACUGCCGGAUGUUAAACCUGUUGAGGUUUACCCAAGGGUUGGGCACCUGCUGAAGGAUGUGUGGUCUAAAACUGAAAUUGGUCAGAUCAACAAGAUCCUGACUCCGAAAAUAAAACUGGUUCCAAAACGGAAACUACACAGCAAGAACAGUGAAAAGGAAAGAGGGAAACCUGAAGAACUUCUCCAGGCUGCAAAUCCUCUAUCGGUCACCUUUAUUUUUACAGUAAUAAUAGCAAUAGCUGUGCUUUCAUUUCACAAACCAAUAUCAUCGGUUGUCAUUGAAUCCAUUCCCACUCAUAUUUCAGAUUUCUUCGGCUUCCUCUAUCAAGAUUUCUGCACCUGUAUGCAGAACACAGUGGAUGUGGUGUGCCAUAAAUUGAAUUCACUGGCAGAGUUUUUAGGGGGAAUUGUUCCUUUUUGACUGUUUUGGUGAUUAGAUUUAAUGUCAGAAGCACCACAAUGUCUUUAAAGUUUCAACUUAAAAGCAGAGUUGUUAGAACUGCUUUUUCUUUCUUUUCCCAUAGCCUUCAUUUUUCAGUAUAGCUUUCCUCUCAGUUAGCAGGCAAAGGAGAAGGUUUACAAUGAAAAGGCUUUUUCAUCUGCUCAUGCAGUAAGGGAGCUGGAAGCGCUUGGGGGCUGGACUGGGGCUAUGAGACAGAGCAGCAGGGCUUGCUGGAGCUAGAACGUGGAUAACUGCUGCUGACAAAGCUAACAGGAGUGAGGUGAAGCAGCAUUUAAGACACAACUGUUUUCUGUCAAAGUGAGAUACUGGCAUACAGCAGUGAGGAAUCUCAUCCCAAGGCUUUCAAAAAAGACAGACCAAAUAAACCUGCCUAUUGAAGCUUGAGAGAAUGGAAGGCAAGUAAAAACCCCGGGACGUUGGCUGCACCUCAGAAUGAAGUCAUGAGCCUGGAUAUGUGAACGCCCUACCAAGAGCAUCUCAGCUGACUAGGGCUGAUUAGUUUAACUGAAAGUAUAUUUUAAAGAGCAAGGAGUUGCAGCAAGGCUGUGCUGAACUACAGCACUGUUGGCAAACUCUUUGCUCUUUAGACAGCUUUCAAAAUGUGCAGUGAGGAUGUAGGGAAUAAUUAUAGAUCCUCUAUUAGCAAUCCAACUUCAAGAAAGCAGCAGUUUAGAACAAAAUAUGCAGAAUGCUACAUUCUGAGCACCGUUCUGCAAGUCUGCUUAGCACACAGUUAUUUGAAAACACUGCAUCUUACAAAGACACUGAAUCUGGCUGUAAUUUUGUUACCACUUUCCCAUUUUCUGGCUGAGAAGGAAAAAAAGUCCCUCCGCAAUAGUUACCAGUACUUACAUAUAUGUAAAAUGCUACAAUGGAUACAUUUUUGAAGUCAAGUGCUGCAUCAAUCUCAUCCAUAAAAUACAGUGGUGUUGGCUUGUAAUGAUGAAGUGCAAAAACUAAAGCCAGUGAACUAAGAGUCUUCUCUCCUCCUGAUAAGUUAAAUAUCUUCUUCCAGCUUUUCUUUGGAGGCCGAACACUGAAAUAAAAUCAGAGUUUGUAAAUUACUUCUGUUCAUGAAUAAAAGGAAUAUGCCGUGGUGAAAAGCAAGUCACAAGGCAGCAGGGAAUUCAUGGAGCAGCUCCCUGGGUACACACACAGCUAUGUGGUCAGCUGAUGUUUGCCUGAACUGGAGCUAUUGUAACACUCAUCUGUUCUCUGUGGGAACUGCAACACUUAAGAACUACUAUUUAAUUACAUUUCAAAAGUGUUAUUCUAUUCUUAAAGUAAUGAACAUACUUUUAGGCCAUUUAUGACAGAACAAUGUCUGCUUACCACUAGGAUUUGACAUGAUUUCUUGGGCAAGUGAAAUGGUUUGGAAAACAAGAAACCUGAGAAAUUACUUUGAAAUGAAAGCUAACUGCUGUUUGUUAGUUAUGUUUCUUGAAGUGAAACGAACCUCUUCAUUACUCAGUGCUAAAAAGUUGUGGCUUCAGUGAGUAUCUUGCCAGUGUUUGCCAAGAGGUGAGACUACCGUGGUUAGCUGAUGUCACCAACAAUUUACUGUAAAAAUGGAUUUUAAAAAGGCAAUACAGUGAUUAAGAAUUGCAGCAACAAUACCACAUAUUUUCACAUACCUGAACAUGAUUCCCUCAGAGAAGGGAUCCAAACUGUCUACAAGUUCUAAUUCAGCAUCUCCUCCCAAAGUAAGCAUCUGGUAGUUCUCCUUCAGUUUAUUUGUUAUUACAUUAAAUCCCGCCAUAAAUUCAUUGAGCCUCUGCUUCCUGAGAUCUUCAAAAGCUUGUCUAAAUCUGUCUCUCUCGUUGGUAAUGUCAUCCAAUUCAGCCACACGUUUUAAGUAUAGCUCUUCCUGUAAAAAACAAUGAGACACCACAAAACCAAAGUGCAGUUAAAGAAGCUGCCUCUACUUUAGAUUUUAUGCCACUCUUCUUUCUACCAUUUCAAAACUUAUUUUUCCCAGAAUGACCAACAGCCCUGAAACAAAAAAGAAUUGAGAACAAACCCUCCCUCCUUUCACUGUUCACUUCUGACGUGGACUCCCUCAGUCAUUUAAUUAACUUGAAACUGUAAUUAAACAAUGUCUAUUUUAGUAGCUCUGUGCUUCAGGUAAUCUUACAGCUCUGCCCAUAAGAGCUGUGGGUAUUUGGUGCAGAGUAUCUCUCAAACACUCUGGAGAGAAGCAGCUCCCAUCUGCAUUUAAUCAACCUGUCUCAACAGCUACAAAUGGUUCUGCUUGAUACCAUCUAAUAGCACAGAUAGUCAUUGUCUGUCUUUACAUGUCAGCAGUCUGCGUGUAAAGGUUUUUCCUUCUUCCCCUGGGAUGAGGCAAUGCUAGGCAAGAAAACCUGAAUAAAUCCUUAAAAAGCUACAUGUGUUUUGGACAAGACAAAGCCAUACUGUUGUGCUGACACGCAGUGCAAUAUCAAAGCAAUGAAUUCUACUGCUACAUGGCAGUAGCAAAGCUUUACCUUCCUCCUAUAUUCUGCAAUAGCACCAAGGUUGGGUUUCAUUUCAUGGCACUGUGCUUCCAAGAGAGCUAUUUGAUUAGUGAUAAUGUCCGGAUCCUUGAUAGCCUCAAGCUCUUCUUGACUGAGCACUGGGAGUUCUUCGGGUGGCUUAUCUUCUAUGGGAUGCAAUGAUAAUUUUGAUAUCUAAAAACCAAAACCAGUUACUAGAAAUCUAAAGAUGACAUUCGUUAUCACAUGAACAUGUUUCCAAAAUAAACAUCUUUGGUAUUAGUAGAUACUGAGCCUUCCAAGCAUUCAAAACUUCUUCACUUAAUUCUCUUUAAAAUUGAGAUGCAUGCACAACAACAAACGCUAUAUCCUGUGGUUUUGCUCCUGAAAAUUUAUUCUUAGGAAUGGGAUAUUUCUGUACAUGGAGCAGUAGCAGGUAAUGUGGGUAUCAUCUCUACUUUCUGUAUCCUUAAAGUUUGUUUUAGAACUUCAAUAACUGUAUUUAAUACCUUGUAUCUGCAAGGUUGAAAAGCUUCUGAAUACCUUUUCUGAGCAGCUGCCCCAGUUGUUCUCAAAGGAGCAAGGAUGUAAAGGGCACUGCGUGAUCAUCUGCUGGUCUACAUCUUAUCUGGCCUUUUUUCCUGAACGUCUCCCCGCGCACACACCACGUUUUUGCACUUUGCACAGAUCAUGAAAAACAAAGCAAAGCCAACCCCCGCCAUUGCCUCUUACUGACUCUGUGCACUCAGAAAGUCUAUGAGCCAAAGAAGUCAGCUUUCGGUGCACAACUGCUUCCAGAAGGAUUAAACACCACUCCCAGAAGCUGAUAAAAACACUUUUGAUGUAAUUUGCUUUGUUUUAAAGAACAGCUUAGUGGAUACAGCACUGCAUGUUUUCCAUUUCCUACUCCUCUUUGCUUCUUUCACCAUUGUAAGAAGGGUUUUGUGUUUUUUUCCCCCCAGUAUCUACUGAGAACACCCAGGCACAGAAAGUCUCUUAGUUGGUAUUUAUUGCCCACUAUUUUUUCCUCGUUGCUUUUCAUUGCUCCUAAAUAGCACCACGUCAGUUACAGUUACCCCACCAUUCUUUCAUAGAUAAAGAACUUGGAAAGUCAGAAGCUAAAUCAUUUCAUUCAUGUCAUCUUUUAGAGCAGGUUUUCAUAGGAUAAACAAUAAUGAGCUAUAAAUAAUGAGCUGAAUAUCAAUUUUUGCCUAAAAUACGUUUUCUACUGUGUUAACCUAUUAAUCUUUUGGGGAUAUUGUAAUUCAACGUCUAUGAACUGAAAAGCUUGCUUACCUCCUUUUGCCAGUAUUUAAUCUUCGACUGAUGUGUAGAAAUAUGACUAUCAAUCUGUUCAAUUUUAAACUUGAUAUUAAGAGCUUCCUUUCGUAGUUCGUGUUCAUCAUCCUGAAUAGCUCUCAUCUCCUGCAGCAAAUUGCGGUGCUCCUCCUGAACGGCCGGCAGCGCUUCCUGCAGGAGUGACACACAGAGUGCAUUCCUCAGCUGCCUGGGAAAUGUUACCCAUUCCUCACGUUGUACGUCUGUUUUCACUACGUUAUUCACACAGCUUACUCUCCACAGUCAUAAGUAUGGAUGUAAAUAAAACACACUCUAAUAGUUAGGCUAACCUGGUCCACGAGUUCUGAAAUACCGCCUGUGAAAAUACGCUGCAGUUUACAUUUGAAAUCUAGAGCUGGAUUAAGCAAGUCCUACACUAAUGUUUGUAAUGGUUUUUUAUAUCAGUCUCAUGAAGUCUGAGGCCCAAAUUGCAAGAUAGCUCUUUAAAUGGAGCUAUCUGCUAAUGAACUAAUUUCUGUAUUCUAGGCCUGCCUGGAAGGUCUAAGGAUAAAGGUUAGCAGCACCAAUUAAGACACAAUGAAUACUAUGUGCAAUUCAUUUCAGACUGCAUGCUCUAUGAAGAAAUGCACCAAAUUAACAUUACACUUACUUCAGCUUGCCUGCAGUCAUUCAGAACUUCAGUAGCUUUGUCUUCUAGCGUAGUCAGCUCUUCUGUUAAGUCUUUAAUUUCUUUCUCAUUGUCUCCAAUCUCCUUCUCAGUGCGAAGAACAGAAUCUUCAGAUUUUUUCAGGUUUCUGAAUGGAUACCAAGACAUUCAUGUACUUCACAAGUGCAAAUACAACACCAGAGAAUCCAGAAGCACAGCCUUACUUAUAAAGAUUGUUCCCUAAAUAUUGCUAACCAAAGAGGAAGUGCUUAUGUGUGCACGAACCCUCACACCUCUGGGAUAUGCAGGUAAGACAAAGCUGUCUUCUGUAAACAGAAACAUACAGUUCAUUCUUUCACUGUUCUGACAUCCAUUCCAAGUGCUCACCAUGUACUGUUAAGCUAAAAUAAAAAUAUAGCCCAUUCUCUUUCUGACAUACUUCACAAUGAAAUUAGUCCCUUCAGAUCUGAACUGCUCCACUGCAUGCCAAUAACUGUCAUUUUUAAUUUGUCUCCUGAUAUUUUAUUUUAGUGAUAGGCAAAUAUUAGCAGAAAAAAGCUCAUUAAAUGGGACUUUUAAAUCACCUUUUGGAGACUGCAAAAUGUUACUGCCUUUUAGCUCUUCAACGUGAGCAGCAUUUAGUAUGAUGCACACAACUGAAAACUAAGGUUUUCAGAUAGACUUUUAACUGUGGCACCCACUUAAGACACAAAUGUGCUAUAGAUUCUGAUGUCAACAGAUACAGCUGUUUGAAGACUGACACAACUCUCCCUGAUCAGGUGUCACUAAGCUUUCUAGGUCUCUGAUUCUCUGCCUGUAAAGCACACUAAUUAACAAAGACUUGUUAAUUAAUUAACAAAAUCUUAAUUAAGAGCCAGUUUCAGUUGGAGGUGUCUGUUAGAGAAAAAGGCUGUGAUCUUCUCCCUUCAGUUUUCCUCCAGCCAUAAGGAAGGGAGAGCACAUCUCCAGCCUGACAGAUCCCCCAAGUACAGAUGUGUGCAGCACGACACAGCAACAGCCUAAGGUUUAAAAUGACACACACUGAUGUCUACUGUACCUGUGUGCAGUCUUGAUUGCCACUUGGGCUUUAGUAAUAGCUGAAGUACAUUCAUCUAUUUCUUGGUUGAUCUUAUCAACUUUGUCUUGCUGUGUUUUAAGUUUACGAUUAUUGAAAUCUAUUAUGAGGUUAUGUAAUCUUUUUACUUCACUUUCCAUUUUACCAGCUUGCUCAGAAACACGCUCAUAAUCUGUUGAUAAACAAAAUAAGUGUUAAUGACAUUAUGUGGUCUCUAGACAUAGUUUUGUCUCUUUCAAUCGUAUGGCAGAAACAUUGAAGAUCUCUAUAACCUCAGUUUUUAGUGUGAUUGAAAAAGUAAAGCAUCUGCAUGCUGUUGAUGCUGUAUUGUUCAAAAGAGGAAUACAGGACAUCCAAAGUAGUCUGUAUGCUCUUUCUUAAAACGCCAUAAGAGCAAAAUGGUGAGUACAGCACUGAUAACGUGGAAGAGCAAAGCCUUAGCAUCCACUCCUGCAUUAGUAAGUGAACAUGACUACAGUUUUUAUCUAUAAUCCCUCUCUCCACAAUAAGUACCUUUUUUAUAACUAUUGAGGACUUUCUCCAAUUCCUUCUGUUUGUUUUUGUCUGGAGCAGCAGCAGUUACAUUUGCUUCAAGUUCCUUAACUUGGCCUUUUAGACGAAUUUCUUGUUCAGAAAAACUCUACAGAAAACAGAACUGUGUCAGAAUCCCAUUCUUUAAGACAGAUCUCUGAUACUGACAAAGAUGACAUUAAUGAGGCUGAGGAACUGUUCUCCCACACGUGCAUAUAGAAACCAGAUGUUGCCUCAAGGACAACUUGUUCACCUGGAUACUCGCUGUGUACUUUUCCAAAGUAUUUCUCAUUUCCCGAACAUUUUUCUGUAGUUUUGUUAUGUCUUCUUCCAGUUGGAAUUUUUCUUCUUCACACUGUACUGCUCUUUGGGAAUCCCUCUGCAGUUCAGAUUCCAGUCUGUUGACCUACACAGAAAGGAAACACAAUCACUCACAGAGUGUCACCACUACAAAACACAGCAAGUACUCAUUCACGUGCUGGACGGUCUAUGAUCUCUUAAAACACAAGAAGUGAUGUAACAGCUUGAGACUUUUCUGCAGCUGGACAGAACAUGGAGGCUGCUGAGAACAUCAAUGAUAAGUGGUGUUAGGAAGACAGAGCAAUCAAGUUAUAGCUACUGAUGUUUAUUGAGUGCCACAAUAUGUCUCAUGGACCAAAUAGAAAACAGAGACAAGCAUGUCUCUUGGAGAGAACUAACCACGGGUAAAUCUGAAGCCUGAAGACAAGAAAUAGCAGUGUUCUCUAUUACUAGGAUAGAAAUAUGAGCUGGCUUAUGUAUUUAUUGAUCCUUUUCAAGACUGGGACAAUAACAGUUUGUCUGUGAGCUUAAUUUAUUACUUCAACACACACUCAACAUUAUAUGAAUAGACUUGACAAAAGUUGCCAUGUCAAACCCUCUGGUGUUUGCAGAACAGUAACUUCUCUUGGUUAAUAUAAUCCUAUUUUCCAAGCUAGGCGAAGGUGAAAAUACAGGAGAAAAAUAGGUACCUUUUUUUACCUCCCAGUGAUAAAACCAAAUAGUGCCAAAACAUGAGCAACGACAGCAAGAGUGGUAACACAAUUAUCUCCUACAGCAGAGAAACCUUCAUGUUGAGUUGGAACUUAGAGUUCUCCAAUAUGAAAGUAUUUUCACAUAGAAAUACUAACCACUGUUUCUGUGUCUUCAAGGGUAAGCAGGUAUUCAACCCCUGUGCUGGCUUACAGCUCUCAUAACUAAAGAACAAGAAGUUCAUUCCCUGUUGGAAGGGGACUGACCUCAGGAGCCACUGUCUACUUGAUAGUUGCAUGGGGGAGAUUGCCUUCUUGCAGAGGUGUUAAUACUGUGGUUUGAUCUUAGGUUGAUCAGCAGAUACUAUGUGAAAAGGACACAGUCUACAGUUCUGUUUGCACUGAAUGGAAUUACAGAGUAAAACCAAAAUAAAUUCAGAUGGCAAGGAAGUAUUUGGAUUCUUCUAAAUAUUGUUGACAAAAAAUUUGAAGGAAGAUGUUGCCAGACCCUGAGAAAUCUUACAGUGACACAAAACAGUGGACAAAAUCUUUCUUUUCCUGCUGUGAGUUUGCACGUACUGCUCUGCAGCACAAUGGUUCCUUAUAGUCAAUCUCUUCCAUACUGUCAUACCUCCCUUCAGUCAGUUUCCAAGCUACCAAAGGUAGCACAAAGGGACCAAAAACUAAAUGGUAGGCACGUGAUGGUUGGGGUGUGAACAACUGCACUUAGGGGCAAUAGAACUUAUGCUAGCCUCAUAAGCAUUCAGCUUUUUUCAGCUUUCAGUCACUAUCAGAAUAUCUUACAUCUUGUUAACUAUUCGUACAUAUUUAAAAGGACAUCAUAAAAGUGUGUAUGAACUGUCAAAACAUGACGAACUUUAAAGAAAUUCCACUUUUAAUUAGGAUUAUGCACUCACCUCCUCUGGUGAAACAUCAGUUACAACUGAGGAGCCCAUUCUGCCCUUCAUUACUUUACCCCCACCACCAGUCAUUGUUCCUAAAGCAGUGAAAGAGGAAGAGAAGUCAGCACGCUUUGUUUUGCUUAGAUAGCAUCUAUGAAGUGCUGAACAUUUAAGUUGACACUUAAAUACCUGACUGCUCAAUGAUUUCUCCUUUCAGCGUUACAACCCUCCACCUCUUAUCUCUUUGGAAUGCUAUUCUGGUAGCAUCUUCCAAGUCCUUAACCACCAGGGUGUCACGUAAUGCAAAGUAAAAAGCUGGGGAGAAGCUCUUAUCUUCUACCUUCACCAGGUCAAUCAGCCGAGGUGCAUUUUCAGGGGUUGGGAUUUUUUGAAGAUUUUUCUUCCAUACGGCCAUCUGCAUAAAAACAAGGAAAUGAAUGCGAGGUUCCUUUGGAUAGAAUAAUGAACUGAUGCCAUAAUUUAAGAUAUGCUAAGGCUUUAGAGCAAAUGUAAAUGUUCUCUAGUUAAAUGUAACUUCCCAGAAUGGUGAAACUUCCUUUCUUAGCUGAAUCAAAAUUAAACAUUCUGCAUUUUAGCUUUACCUGUAUUAAUACUUAUUCAGUGUACUAUAUUAACGUAACACAUAUUUGUAUGUACACAAACAUCACUGUGCAUCUUAGGGUAAAUCAGCAACGUAAUUUGUUUUGCCACAGCACCAGCACUUACUUUGUCCAGGGCUAUAAAUGUGGCAGCUCCGAUUUCCGUUUUCUUUAAGAAUUCCACACAUUGCUGCGCGAUAUCGAUUGUAUCAACAACGAUGUAGUCCAGGGCAGCACAAGAUGAUGAAAUAGCAACAUCAUACUUCUCAUCGAUGGCUCCCAAGUCUCCCUAAGAAUUGAAGGGGGAACGGAGAGGGCGGGGCAGAAAUACUCUCAUUACCUGGGCAUCAAUAUUUUGCCUUGGUGUUUAGAGAUAUGACAGAAACUUCACAUAGAAUGAAAUGAGAAGAAAAGAAACUAUAAAACUUUUUUUUUUUUUUUGCCAAAUAACUUAAACCUUAGUGAAAUUUAUGAAUUAAUAUCACACCUGACUUCUCCUGCUGUUUAUGUAUUUCUCCUGUACUCGGUUCCAUAGCAGAAUAUGAAUUCAUACAGAGUUUCAAAAGCAGUAAUUCUGACAAAGCAAUGUGGUAGCUCUGGAUUUCUUUUCUGCAGAUAAAUGGUAAAUUCUAUAUGCCAGUGUUUUAGUAUUCUGUAUAUUCUGUGUAUGGUUCUCCCAUUGGUCUGCUGGGUAGAACCUCUCAAGUCAGAUACCUCUGCAAGCAUUCCUGUAUGCAACUGAGAAAUGGUAUGGGGUUAUUGGUCUCCUUUGAAAAUUUGUACUUAUCUGCAGGUUAACAAACCAGCAUGCACAGCCAGCCGAGUUAUCCAAGAACAUCUUAACCUCAGUCCUUCCUUUGGCAAGUGGUAACACAGCAUAAAACAAAGCAAACGCCAGCAGUGGCAGACAGCUGUGUGCUGCCAUUUGAACUGUAUCCUUUAAAUCUGCCUAUAGCUCAGUUUGUCUAAUAUAUAUGCAUUGAAUGUUCUGAAGCAGAAUCUUCUUCCAGGAGCGAGGCAAAGAAACAACAGCAGAAUGUAACGUUAUCACUUCUACAUGUAUAUUGAUAUAUGCAUUGUUUGAUCCCAGAAAGAAAAAAGGAACAAAGAGCUCUACUUUAGCAGCAUUUUCAGACCUUCACCUAUUCUACCUUUCACCUAUUCACAUAAAAACCACUCUACCCCCAUGAAGUUGAAGACAAAAUCUGUAAGAGCCUUUUAACAGUUACCAGUCUUCCAUGUAUUCCAGAAAUACUCCCCGACCUCUUCUGCUCAAGCAGAGCCUCGAGCACUUUUCCUCGACUGCGGUGCUGUGCUAAAGAACUUUUGGCUUCUUCUACUUUUUGACGGAGAUUUCGAACAAGAUCCUGAGCAUUCAAUUCCUCUUUUUUCAGCUUCUCAAGCUUGUUCUCUUUCUAAUGGGUACAAGAAAGAUGUUAGCCACAAGAAACCUUCUGUACUCUACAACAUGGAUUCAUGAUUGUGUAAGCAAUGAAAGCAGCCACUGAAAAACUGAGGUAGCAAAACAUUCACCAGAACAAUGACUGUUAUCUGUACACUUGGAAGCAGAUACAACAGCUUACGCAUGUGUGAAUCAGGCUUACACCAAGGUAUCAGGGUUUUUUUUAUCAGGGAAUGAGAGGGGAGCAUGAAGUGCAAUUCAAAUGGCUCAGGAACAUAGCUAUUCAUUUAUUUUACCGUGUCUAAUUAUUAAAUUUGAACUGAUUUCCUUGUAGAGAUGCAUGGGAUUUAAUUUCCUGUGCUUAAUGUUAAUAUUUUCUUAAACCAAAAUAAGUUUGAAAUCAGAUACUUAACUUCAGUGGUUAAUUAAGUAUCUGAAUGUUCAAUUCCAUGUAUGAAAGCUAGGUCUCACCUCCUUUAAUUCUUGUUCAGCUGUAGGUAACUUUAUAUCUAUAUCUUUAAUAGCAGCCUUCCUUUGCUUAAGAGUUUCAGAAGUAGUCAUCAGAGCCUCCUUUGCCUCAUCUAGCUGAGACACAGCAGUGUUAUAGCGGGUGAGGUAGAUAUCGAGUUCUGCCUGUGCUACAUCCAUCUUUGAACGCGCGUCAUUCACCGUCUUACAAAACUCCAUGAGCUCUUUCUCUUUGCCCUGCAAAAAUGGAUGUUACCAAUCAAAACACACCUGUGGGAUUUACUGUGUCAGUCAUGCUGUGUGGAAGGUAACAAGGAAAUGAGCACCUUCUUUUACUAGCAGGAACCAGAUAUGAAAACCGUUCCAUAGAAGAACAAGUAUAUCUAUCUGAAUUUGUUAACAUAUUCUUUAUGGAAGUAUUUUUUUCCAUAGCUGUAAGGAACACUGUGGAAUUACCUUAAAGCAUUUCCAUAAAAGCACUGUAUCCCCUUAACUUGAAGUUGUAGAGAACACUCCCAGUUAAAUUUGUACUAAAUUACAGAUGAAAUGGAGAAUGUGUUCAGUACAGGAAACAGACCUCGACAUUUAUAGAAUAAAUGUUCAGUCUCCAGAUUGUUAAUGAUUGGGCAGCUAAUAUCAACAACAGUAAGUGUUGCAGUAGUUGUGUAUGCAUUGAAAGACAGACCACAGCUGUGUGAAAGGCUCAGAACACAGCAUUUCAGAAUUGGAUUAUAAUUAUUAUUUUCAAGUAAAUGUUGGCUUGAGCGUUUUGAUGGGAGGUAAUUCAAGUGUGUUCUAGUACUGGAAGUGUAGAUUUAUUUAAUGUAUGUGUAUGAAUGAUAUGCUUAGUAACUUAUCACUACGAAAAGCAAACAACCUCAUGAGAAUGAUUUAGCUCACUGUAAGUUCUCAAAAUGAAUUUCCCAGUUAGCCUCCAUCAAACCAACACAUGGAACACUAUCAUACAAAUCACAUCUUCCAGCUAUCUUGUGAUCCUUCCGUUUCUCACUCCAAAAGCUGCCCCUCGGUUAAAACAGAAAGCAUACAGGUCAACAAACCUCUUUUUCUUUCUGAAUUUCUCGUGUUUCUUCUUGAAGACUACUCAUAACCUGCUUGAGUUUUUCUUCUUCUUUGUCUUUUGCCUUUUCAAGAAGCUCUUUCUUAGAUGUUGCAUCGCUGAUGUUUUUUUCACUACUGGAGGGUACGUUUUUCAG